CAGCCGUAAACUAUGCUCGCUAGGUGUCAGGCAUGGCGCGACCGUGUCUGGUGCCGCAGGGAAGCCGUGAAGCGAGCCACCUGGGAAGUACGGCCGCAAGGCUGAAACUUAAAGGAAUUGGCGGGGGAGCACCACAACAGGUGGAGCCUGCGGUUUAAUUGGAUUCAACGCCGGAGAUCUCACCAGGGGGCGACAGCAGUAUGAUGGCCAGGUUGAUGGCCUUGCUUGACAAGCUGAGAGGAGGUGCAUGGCGUAGACGUGU
rnacentral:rRNA from 1 species